AGGAUGAACGCUGGCGGCGUGCCUAAUACAUGCAAGUCGAACGGUAACAGGCUUUCACUAUUUGCUUCUCUCUCAUCUGUAAAAUGAUGAGGUACAGAGGAGGAAGUGGUGAAAGUGCUGACGAGUGGCGGACGGCUGAGUAACGCGUGGGAACGUGCCCCAAAGUGAGGGAUAAGCUCUGGAAACAGAGUCUAAUACCGCAUAUGGUCUUCGGAUUAAAGUAUUUAUACGCUUUGGGAGCGGCCCGCGUUUGAUUAGAUAGUUGGUGAGGUGAAGGCUCACCAAGUCUACGAUCAAUAGCUGGUCUGAGAGGAUGAUCAGCCAGACUGGAACUGAGACACGGUCCAGACUCCGUACGGAGCAGCGAAGUAAGGAAUCUUACCAACAAGUCGGGGACCAACCCGUGAGUAGGAGCGAACCGCCGCGUGAAGGAGUA
rnacentral:rRNA from 1 species